rnacentral:antisense_RNA from 1 species
CCCUCAGUCAGUAGGGUGGGCGUGGCCUUCUCCCUGCCUGCAUCUGAAAUGCAGUUUAAAGAUCAAGAAGACUGAUCUUUCGCUUCUGAAUCCUCUGAGAGUACCUCAGGCCCUCCUGUGUGAGGCCCAGCUGCCUCCUGCCUGGUCUUCCUGGAUCCACAGAGCUGCAGCUGCAGUUCCUCUUCCCCUGACGUCUGAGGCCGGGCCUGCUCCAGGUCGGAGGUAUAGCGGGGUGACGAAGAGGAGGCUGCAAUGACCAUCAUGUCUGUGUGACCACACGAUUACCCAUCGGCUCCCACACCCCUCUGCCUGCCAGGAAGCUGAGGCUCAAAGAAGAGAACUGAGAGGAGGGGAACAACGGCCGUGGAGGCCCCCGUGGGCCAAGCAGUGUGCCAGGCACUCUAUGAAACAAUGGAGGUAGGUGAGCUUAUCCCCAUUGUACAGAUGAGGAAACUGAGGUUCGGAGAACUGGUUGCCCAGGUCACACAGCUUGGAGGAAGCAGAAUAUAGAAUGCUAUCUGACUCCAAACCUGUGCUUCCACCGUCAUGCCAUCCUAUCAGGCAGCUAACGAAUGGUAAUCAAUCUAUAACAACAUUAUUAGCUGAGCUAA